CCUACGGGGGGCUGCAGUGGGGAAUAUUGGGCAAUGGGCGAAAGCCUGACCCAGCGACGCCGCGUGAAGGAUGAAGGUCUUCGGAUUGUAAACUUCUUUGAUCAGGGAAGAAAGAAAUGACGGUACCUGAAGAACAAGCCACGGCUAACUACGUGCCAGCAGCCGCGGUAAUACGUAGGUGGCAAGCGUUGUCCGGAUUUACUGGGUGUAAAGGGCGUGUAGGCGGGUAUGCAAGUCAGAUGUGAAAUCCCGUGGCUCAACUGCGGAACUGCAUCUGAAACUGCGUAUCUUGAGUGUCGGAGGGGAAAGUGGAAUUCCUGGUGUAGCGGUGAAAUGCGUAGAUAUCAGGAGGAACACCGGUGGCGAAGGCGACUUUCUGGACGACAACUGACGCUGAGACGCGAAAGCGUGGGGAGCAAACAGGAUUAGAUACCCCAGUAGUC
rnacentral:rRNA from 1 species